ACUAAGCGUACACGGUGGAUGCCCUGGCAGUCAGAGGCGAUGAAGGACGUGCUAAUCUGCGAUAAGCGUCGGUAAGGUGAUAUGAACCGUUAUAACCGGCGAUUUCCGAAUGGGGAAACCCAGUGUGAUUCGUCACACUAUCAUUAACUGAAUCCAUAGGUUAAUGAGGCGAACCGGGGGAACUGAAACAUCUAAGUACCCCGAGGAAAAGAAAUCAACCGAGAUUCCCCCAGUAGCGGCGAGCGAACGGGGAGCAGCCCAGAGCCUGAAUCAGUAUGUGUGUUAGUGGAAGCGUCUGGAAAGGCGCGCGAUACAGGGUGACAGCCCCGUACACAAAAAUGCACAUGCUGUGAGCUCGAUGAGUAGGGCGGGACACGUGGUAUCCUGUCUGAAUAUGGGGGGACCAUCCUCCAAGGCUAAAUACUCCUGACUGACCGAUAGUGAACCAGUACCGUGAGGGAAAGGCGAAAAGAACCCCGGCGAGGGGAGUGAAAAAGAACCUGAAACCGUGUACGUACAAGCAGUGGGAGCACAGAGCAAUCUGUGUGACUGCGUACCUUUUGUAUAAUGGGUCAGCGACUUAUAUUCUGUAGCAAGGUUAACCGAAUAGGGGAGCCGAAGGGAAACCGAGUCUUAACUGGGCGUUAAGUUGCAGGGUAUAGACCCGAAACCCGGUGAUCUAGCCAUGGGCAGGUUGAAGGUUGGGUAACACUAACUGGAGGACCGAACCGACUAAUGUUGAAAAAUUAGCGGAUGACUUGUGGCUGGGGGUGAAAGGCCAAUCAAACCGGGAGAUAGCUGGUUCUCCCCGAAAGCUAUUUAGGUAGCGCCUCGUGAAUUCAUCUCCGGGGGUAGAGCACUGUUUCGGCAAGGGGGUCAUCCCGACUUACCAACCCGAUGCAAACUGCGAAUACCGGAGAAUGUUAUCACGGGAGACACACGGCGGGUGCUAACGUCCGUCGUGAAGAGGGAAACAACCCAGACCGCCAGCUAAGGUCCCAAAGUCAUGGUUAAGUGGGAAACGAUGUGGGAAGGCCCAGACAGCCAGGAUGUUGGCUUAGAAGCAGCCAUCAUUUAAAGAAAGCGUAAUAGCUCACUGGUCGAGUCGGCCUGCGCGGAAGAUGUAACGGGGCUAAACCAUGCACCGAAGCUGCGGCAGCGACGCUGAUGCGUUGUUGGGUAGGGGAGCGUUCUGUAAGCCUGUGAAGGUGUGCUGUGAGGCAUGCUGGAGGUAUCAGAAGUGCGAAUGCUGACAUAAGUAACGAUAAAGCGGGUGAAAAGCCCGCUCGCCGGAAGACCAAGGGUUCCUGUCCAACGUUAAUCGGGGCAGGGUGAGUCGACCCCUAAGGCGAGGCCGAAAGGCGUAGUCGAUGGGAAACAGGUUAAUAUUCCUGUACUUGGUGUUACUGCGAAGGGGGGACGGAGAAGGCUAUGUUGGCCGGGCGACGGUUGUCCCGGUUUAAGCGUGUAGGCUGGUUUUCCAGGCAAAUCCGGAAAACUAAGGCUGAGGCGUGAUGACGAGGCACUACGGUGCUGAAGCAACAAAUGCCCUGCUUCCAGGAAAAGCCUCUAAGCAUCAGGUAACAUCAAAUCGUACCCCAAACCGACACAGGUGGUCAGGUAGAGAAUACCAAGGCGCUUGAGAGAACUCGGGUGAAGGAACUAGGCAAAAUGGUGCCGUAACUUCGGGAGAAGGCACGCUGAUAUGUAGGUGAAGUCCCUCGCGGAUGGAGCUGAAAUCAGUCGAAGAUACCAGCUGGCUGCAACUGUUUAUUAAAAACACAGCACUGUGCAAACACGAAAGUGGACGUAUACGGUGUGACGCCUGCCCGGUGCCGGAAGGUUAAUUGAUGGGGUCAGCGCAAGCGAAGCUCUUGAUCGAAGCCCCGGUAAACGGCGGCCGUAACUAUAACGGUCCUAAGGUAGCGAAAUUCCUUGUCGGGUAAGUUCCGACCUGCACGAAUGGCGUAAUGAUGGCCAGGCUGUCUCCACCCGAGACUCAGUGAAAUUGAACUCGCUGUGAAGAUGCAGUGUACCCGCGGCAAGACGGAAAGACCCCGUGAACCUUUACUAUAGCUUGACACUGAACAUUGAGCCUUGAUGUGUAGGAUAGGUGGGAGGCUUUGAAGUGUGGACGCCAGUCUGCAUGGAGCCGACCUUGAAAUACCACCCUUUAAUGUUUGAUGUUCUAACGUUGACCCGUAAUCCGGGUUGCGGACAGUGUCUGGUGGGUAGUUUGACUGGGGCGGUCUCCUCCUAAAGAGUAACGGAGGAGCACGAAGGUUGGCUAAUCCUGGUCGGACAUCAGGAGGUUAGUGCAAUGGCAUAAGCCAGCUUGACUGCGAGCGUGACGGCGCGAGCAGGUGCGAAAGCAGGUCAUAGUGAUCCGGUGGUUCUGAAUGGAAGGGCCAUCGCUCAACGGAUAAAAGGUACUCCGGGGAUAACAGGCUGAUACCGCCCAAGAGUUCAUAUCGACGGCGGUGUUUGGCACCUCGAUGUCGGCUCAUCACAUCCUGGGGCUGAAGUAGGUCCCAAGGGUAUGGCUGUUCGCCAUUUAAAGUGGUACGCGAGCUGGGUUUAGAACGUCGUGAGACAGUUCGGUCCCUAUCUGCCGUGGGCGCUGGAGAACUGAGGGGGGCUGCUCCUAGUACGAGAGGACCGGAGUGGACGCAUCACUGGUGUUCGGGUUGUCAUGCCAAUGGCACUGCCCGGUAGCUAAAUGCGGAAGAGAUAAGUGCUGAAAGCAUCUAAGCACGAAACUUGCCCCGAGAUGAGUUCUCCCUGACUCCUUGAGAGUCCUGAAGGAACGUUGAAGACGACGACGUUGAUAGGCCGGGUGUGUAAGCGCAGCGAUGCGUUGAGCUAACCGGUACUAAUGAACCGUGAGGCUUAACC
rnacentral:rRNA from 1 species